rnacentral:rRNA from 1 species
UAAGAUGCACUCGCUGCUCAAAACCUGACCUCAUCAGACCUCAGAAGCAAAGCAAGAGGGACUGGUUGGUACUUGGAUGGGAGACGGCUAGGAAUUCCAGGUGCCAUUGUGU